rnacentral:rRNA from 1 species
AGAGUUUGAUCAUGGCUCAGAUUGAACGCUGGCGGCAGGCCUAACACAUGCAAGUCGAGCGGAUGAAGGGAGCUUGCUCCUGGAUUCAGCGGCGGACGGGUGAGUAAUGCCUAGGAAUCUGCCUGGUAGUGGGGGAUAACGUCCGGAAACGGGCGCUAAUACCGCAUACGUCCUGAGGGAGAAAGUGGGGGAUCUUCGGACCUCACGCUAUCAGAUGAGCCUAGGUCGGAUUAGCUAGUUGGUGGGGUAAAGGCCUACCAAGGCGACGAUCCGUAACUGGUCUGAGAGGAUGAUCAGUCACACUGGAACUGAGACACGGUCCAGACUCCUACGGGAGGCAGCAGUGGGGAAUAUUGGACAAUGGGCGAAAGCCUGAUCCAGCCAUGCCGCGUGUGUGAAGAAGGUCUUCGGAUUGUAAAGCACUUUAAGUUGGGAGGAAGGGCAGUAAGUUAAUACCUUGCUGUUUUGACGUUACCAACAGAAUAAGCACCGGCUAACUUCGUGCCAGCAGCCGCGGUAAUACGAAGGGUGCAAGCGUUAAUCGGAAUUACUGGGCGUAAAGCGCGCGUAGGUGGUUCAGCAAGUUGGAUGUGAAAUCCCCGGGCUCAACCUGGGAACUGCAUCCAAAACUACUGAGCUAGAGUACGGUAGAGGGUGGUGGAAUUUCCUGUGUAGCGGUGAAAUGCGUAGAUAUAGGAAGGAACACCAGUGGCGAAGGCGACCACCUGGACUGAUACUGACACUGAGGUGCGAAAGCGUGGGGAGCAAACAGGAUUAGAUACCCUGGUAGUCCACGCCGUAAACGAUGUCGACUAGCCGUUGGGAUCCUUGAGAUCUUAGUGGCGCAGCUAACGCGAUAAGUCGACCGCCUGGGGAGUACGGCCGCAAGGUUAAAACUCAAAUGAAUUGACGGGGGCCCGCACAAGCGGUGGAGCUUGUGGUUUAAUUCGAAGCAACGCGAAGAACCCUACCUGGCCUUGACAUGCUGAGAACUUUCCAGAGAUGGAUUGGUGCCUUCGGGAACUCAGACACAGGUGCUGCAUGGCUGUCGUCAGCUCGUGUCGUGAGAUGUUGGGUUAAGUCCCGUAACGAGCGCAACCCUUGUCCUUAGUUACCAGCACCUCGGGUGGGCACUCUAAGGAGACUGCCGGUGACAAACCGGAGGAAGGUGGGGAUGACGUCAAGUCAUCAUGGCCCCUUACGGCCAGGGCUACACACGUGCUACAAUGGUCGGUACAAAGGGUUGCCAAUCCGCGAGGUGGAGCUAAUCCCAUAAAACCGAUCGUAGUCCGGAUCGCAGUCUGCAACUCGACUGCGUGAAGUCGGAAUCGCUAGUAAUCGUGAAUCAGAAUGUCACGGUGAAUACGUUCCCGGGCCUUGUACACACCGCCCGUCACACCAUGGGAGUGGGUUGCUCCAGAAGUAGCUAGUCUAACCGCAAGGGGGACGGUUACCACGGAGUGAUUCAUGACUGGGGUGAAGUCGUAACAAGGUA